rnacentral:lncRNA from 1 species
GCGUAACUAGGCAUCUGAACUAGAGCAUCCGCGAAAGGGAUGUUGAUGUGAAGCUUUUUGAAGACCUCAAGGAAUUUUGUAUACUGCCUAUCUAACUUGUGUUUUUGCAGCCUCUGAGGAAAUGGAAUUGGCGGCUCGUAUGGUUUAAUAGGAGCAGUUUCCUUAAUUUGCGAUGUAUUUGAACUCUCUUUGAUAGAUGUAUCUGUUGUUUGUUCAGUCUGUUCUGCAUGCUCUUCAUCAGUAGAGGGUACUUUUUCCUUAUUUGCAGUUGGCCUCUUAACAUGGAACUCAGGUAAUUGGACCCCACUUCUAGUAGUAAUUACUUUGACGUGUUCUUUGGGAUUAACCUCUGUAUUGCUUGGCAAUGUACCUGGUGCUCUGCCCGAUAUAGCUUGUGCCAUCUGUCCCAUCUGAGUCUCCAAGUUUUUAAUUGCAGCACUUUGAUUCUGGAUAGUUGUCUCAGUCUUCCUCAUAAAUUGAUUAUUCGCAUCCAUGUACGGAUCUGUCUUUUCCAUGAAUUUACCAAACAUCUUUUCCAAGGGAGUUCUCUUCUCUGCUUGCUGAAACUGAGAACCAUGUGGUGCAGUGAGAUUUUGAUUGCUCCAGGAAAAAUUCG